UUUGGCAGCACAUAUACUAAAACUAAACUAAACUAAAAACAAUACAGAGAACAUUAGCAUGGGCUCUGUGCAAGAAUGACACGCAAAUUCGUGAAGCACUCCAUAUUUUU